UUGACGAGUUUCGAACUACGUUGAUUGCAAGGCAUGAGAAUGUCAGUAAAAGAGUUUGAGGUACUGGGUGAUCUGUUCGCGCGUGGAGAUGGAAAGACUGACAUGGCGGGGCAAAGCCGGCUUACAACACGGCAAUACCGCGCUCAAGGUUUAGUUGCCACUGGUCGGACUGUGGGUUCGGAGUGUUUUAUUUUUGUUUAUGCCAGAAAUAACAAUUUUUUAUACAUGUAUAAAUACAUAUAUAUAUAUUUACAUAAAUUUUGCAAAUUCUUUUAUCACAGUGUUCGAGAAUGCAUACACAUGAAACUAUUAACUAUGAACCUUACGUUUUACUAUAAACAAAUAUUGUUAUUAUUGUUAUAAUUGCACUUGCCUUGUGAACGAAAAUGCGAAAUUCAAUAUUAGAAAGCCACCAUUAGUGUUAGUAGGGUUAAUAGUGUGAAAUUUAAGGAGAAAUUAAUGAAAUAAUUAGUAAAUGAAUUCCGCUGAAAAGAGUGGCUGAUACUGCCUAGCCUGGGUGAAUAAACAGUUGGAAUCUUCAAGGCAGAUGACGUGGAACCGGUUAAGGUCAUUCGCGUGAAGCACGAAGACCGCAUGUUUUUCUUCUACGUUAUCUCUAGCCACCAUAAGUUUCUCUGGAACUUAAAUGAAGAAUGUGCUUCAUCAUUUUUAAUUUCUGCAUCGGCAUUUCGUUUUCAAUUAGAUUAUCAAGAACAAAUGUGCUUCCAUUUUCAUGUUAUGUGAAUUAUUAUUACUUGCAUCUGCAUUUCUUGGUGACUUAUCUUAUUCUUAUCUUGGCAUCAUUCGUUUGUAAAAGUUAACAGUGAUAAAAUUUCACAAGUGCAAAGUGAACAUGAACAGCUCAUUCUGGAUUUAGUUGUUUACAACAAAUGCAUUAGAGAUUAAAGACAUUUAAAUUUGUAGAGGAGACCUAUAGAAAUUCGUGGAUAAAUCAACAUUUGAUUUUUUGAAAGUGACUAAAAUAUGCAUUCGUUAGAAAGAAGAUAAAACAAAAGAUGUACGUCACCAGCCUAGACCAUCAUAAAAGCAUUCUGGGACUUAUCAAUAUACUAAAAGAUUGUAGUAUGGCACUUAAAUAGAUUAAUUGAUGAUGAGAUCCUGCAUUGGUCAUCAGUUUGUUUGGGUUGUUUGUAUCGAUUUCUUGAACGUGAGAAAGUUCUUUACAUAAAGUUUAUGCUAAUAGGUGAGAAUGUCUCACGGCGUUCUCACGAGUUUACUUUUCAAGGGGAGAAAGGAAUAUUAAUAGACUAAAGCAUAACCAUCAGUGGCUUGCCUGAAGAAGAUAAGUAUUUUACAUUAAGGGUCUAAAGGGUUAAGAUGGAAGAAAAUACGUAUAAAUUUGUAAGCUGGAACAUAGUUAUGCUUAGCAAACUGCAACUUAUUAGCAUUCUAGUAUUAUUAUAAUUAACGAUUUCAAACAAGUUAAGCUCCAUUUUAUACAUGCUUUGCGUAUCGAAAAAACGUUAAAUUUUGUUAAAUCGGUGAAAACCGUUGCGUACUUUGUUGUUUAAAUGUAUAAAAAAUAUGUUUCUUUUGGUCUACUUUUUAAUGUCUUCGAAACAUUGUAGACGAAAAUCCAAGUCAAGAUGUCUCCAAUUUAAAUUUAGAAAACUAUUAUCGUCAAAGAAGGUAAUUUUGGAUAGUCAAGUUGACUUCCGCUGUAAAAUAUAUGAAUAGUGCCGAACGCAAACAGUCUCUGUAGUACAAAUUCUAAGGUUUUCACUACUUUUUUCAAAUUUUAGUAAAAUACAAAAUUAAUAAUUCUGUUAAAGUGCUUUCGAGUUUUAUAGUCAGAAAAAUUCUCAAAACCUAAUCUGUUGGCUUAAUAAUUACUUAAAAAAUAAUUUAUGUUUCAGCUUACAAAAAAUCAAAGUUAAUUUCACGUUUUGUACCCCCGACGAAAACUUAGAUGAUAUAAAAGAGGGUAUAUAUUUUAAUUUACAAGUGUUUUAUAAGAUUUAACCAAAAAUUAUGAUUGAAUCUGUUUUCUAAAUUAAGAUUUGGUUAAUUCUUUUAAAACGAAUAUGUUAUAAAUUCCUUCAAUGUUUAAGGGCAUUUGAUUAAAAAAUCUUAAAUAUUCUUAAAAGAUUAUUCUCUUAAAAAAUCUUAAAAUAAAUUUACGUUUACAAUGAAAAUUUGUUUUGCAAAACCCCAGUUCAAUCUGUUAAUAUUAACAUGUUUCAACGUGAAGGACAGAAAAUUUUGACUUCCCACAUUUUUUAAGUAAACAAUCUGAAACUGUGGAGAAGAGGAUACAUACUUGCAUUCAGGAGAAAUCAGACACUUUAACAAUAGCUCAGGUAGACGGCGUUUUUAGGGGAAUCACAAACAUGGGGGGAGC